rnacentral:rRNA from 1 species
GGGGACCCGCACAAGCGGUGGAUGAUGUGGAUUAAUUCGAUGCAACGCGAAGAACCUUACUACCCUUGACAUGUCCGGAACUUGCCAGAGAUGGCUUGGUGCCCGAAAGGGAAUCGGAACACAGGUGCUGCAUGGCUGUCGUCAGCUCGUGUCGUGAGAUGUUGGGUUAAGUCCCGCAACGAGCGCAACCCUUAUCAUUAGUUGCUACGCAAGGGCACUCUAAUGAGACUGCCGGUGACAAACCGGAGGAAGUGGGGAUGACGUCAAGUCCUCAUGGCCCUUAUGGGUAGGGCUUCACACGUCAUACAAUGGUCGGUACAGAGGGUUGCCAAGCCGCGAGGCGGAGCCAAUCCCACAAAGCCGAUCGUAGUCCGGAUUGUUCUCUGCAACUCGAGAGCAUGAAGUCGGAAUCGCUAGUAAUCGCAGGUCAGCAUACUGCGGUGAAUACGUUCCCGGGUCUU